rnacentral:rRNA from 1 species
GUGGGGAAUAUUGGACAAUGGGCGCAAGCCUGAUCCAGCCAUGCCGCGUGAGUGAUGAAGGCCCUAGGGUUGUAAAGCUCUUUCACCGGUGAAGAUAAUGACGGUAACCGGAGAAGAAGCCCCGGCUAACUUCGUGCCAGCAGCCGCGGUAAUACGAAGGGGGCUAGCGUUGUUCGGAAUUACUGGGCGUAAAGCGCACGUAGGCGGACUGGUCAGUUAGGGGUGAAAUCCCAGGGCUCAACCCUGGAACUGCCUUUAAUACUGCCAGUCUAGAGUUCGAGAGAGGUGAGUGGAAUUCCGAGUGUAGAGGUGAAAUUCGUAGAUAUUCGGAGGAACACCAGUGGCGAAGGCGGCUCACUGGCUCGAUACUGACGCUGAGGUGCGAAAGCGUGGGGAGCAAACAGGAUUAGAUACCCUAGUGUCC